UACGUAGGUGGCUAGCGUUGUCCGGAUUUACUGGGCGUAAAGAGCGCGCAGGCGGUCGUUCAAGUCGAGUGUGAAAGCCCCCGGCUCAACUGGGGAGGGUCACUCGAUACUGAUCGACUCGAAGGCAGGAGAGGGAAGCGGAAUUCCCGGUGUAGUGGUGAAAUGCGUAGAUAUCGGGAGGAACACCGGUGGCGAAGGCGGGUCUCUGGGCCGAUACUGACGCUGAGGAGCGAAAGCGUGGGGAGCAAACAGG
rnacentral:rRNA from 1 species